rnacentral:lncRNA from 1 species
UCAAACUCGAUCACAAACAAAAUCCCAAAUUGCAGGUUAUGGGUCGGCUCUCUGUCGAAGAACACAGCAAACCGGAGUCAGCCUAGUCGAUUCUGAGUUGAUCAACUCAACCCAAGACUGCAGAUUUAUCUCGACCAAGACCCAAGUGGUGGUUAGGACGCAGAAGAGUGAGUUUCAUACCACAAGCGGCUCUGUCGGUGGUCCGAGUCGCCGGAGUCUGCAGAAAUCGCCGGAGGAGACCCAAGGCUUUCCGUCGUCAAAUCCCCGCUUCUAGUCGCUGCAUGUAAGAUCUGGAACCAC